rnacentral:rRNA from 1 species
UUGGAAUCGCUAGUAAUCGUAGAUCAGCAUGCUACGGUGAAUACGUUCCCGGGCCUUGUACACACCGCCCGUCACACCACGGGAGUUGGUUGUACCAGAAGCAGUUGAGCUAACUAUUUAUAGAGGCAGGCUGCCAAGGUAUGAUUGGUAACUGGGGUGAAGUCGUAACAAGGUAGCCCUAGGGGAACCUGGGGCUGGAUCACCUCCUUU